UUGGAGGGCAAGUCUGGUGCCAGCAGCCGCGGUAAUUCCAGCUCCAAUAGCGUAUAUUAAAGUUGUUGCAGUUAAAAAGCUCGUAGUUGAAUUUCGGGAUCAAUAUAUCGGUCAUGCUUAGGUAUGUACUGGUAUUAUUGAUUUCUCCCUUCUGAAGAACCAUGAUGUCAUUUAUUUGAUGUCGUGGGGAAUCAGGACUGUUACUUUGAAAAAAUUAGAGUGUUUAAAGCAGGCUUUCGCUUGAAUACAUUAGCAUGGAAUAAUGAAAUAGGACGUUUGAUUCUAUUUUGUUGGUUUCUAGGAUCGACGUAAUGAUUAAUAGGGAUAGUUGGG
rnacentral:sRNA from 1 species